GCCGGCGUGGCACAACCUGGUACUGCGCGGGCCUUGAGAGCCCGUUUCCUUCGGGAUAUCCCGGUUCAAAUCCGGGCGCCGGCG
rnacentral:tRNA from 1 species